UACGUAGGGUGCAAGCGUUAAUCGGAAUUACUGGGCGUAAAGCGUGCGCAGGCGGUUUUGUAAGUCUGACGUGAAAUCCCCGGGCUCAACCUGGGGAUUGCGUUGGAGACUGCAAGGCUGGAGUCUGGCAGAGGGGGGUAGAAUUCCACGUGUAGCAGUGAAAUGCGUAGAGAUGUGGAGGAACACCGAUGGCGAAGGCAGCCCCCUGGGUCAAGACUGACGCUCAUGCACGAAAGCGUGGGGAGCAAACAGG
rnacentral:rRNA from 1 species